UUCUGUUUUGAUUUUAUAGGAGCUCACAGUUUAGAGACUUAAAACUUAAAAAAAAAGAUUUUGGAAUUUGACAGAGACUUAAAAGAGACUUUUAAGAAGAUAUUUCUAAAGAGACGAUUUCUAAGGUGUUUGAAAUUAUAAGGCUGUGGGACUUUUUAAGUUUUUAAGAUGCUUUUUUAUAUUGUGAUAUUUUUUUAAAAAAAUUAAUGUGAUCUUGUUGACGAGCAAGAAGGGGAAGGUUGUUGCUUACUGGUGAUGUGCUGGUGUGUCACGCUGACAAGUUACGUGUCAGUUGGCUAGUUUUAUGUCAACUUUACACAAAGCUGCAGGCAGGCCUGUGGAGAAUUUUCAUAUGUGAUGGGUGGGGAGGGCCCAGCCCAUUGUGGGAGGUGCCAUCCCCGUAUCGUAGUCCUGAGUGCUAUAAGAAAGCGGGCUGAGCGAGCUGAAGUGAGCAAGCCAGUAAGCAGCACCCUCCAUGUCUUCUGUGUCAGCUCCUGCCUGCUUUAGUUCCUGACCUGUCUUCUUCAGUGAUUUCGAAGUGUAAGCCAAAUAUUUACCCUUUUCUUCCCCAAGUUGCUUUGGCCAUGGUGUUUCAGCACAGCAGUAGUAACCCUAAUUAGAACGGAAAUCUUAUUCUUUCUUUGCUGUUGCUAAAUCUCCCAGUAUUCUGUUGGGGGGAAAAAAGAGAGGUGAGACCAGUCAUCCUCCUCUUGUUCCUGACCCUACAGGAAGCACUUUUAACUUCUUACCAUAUGAUAUCAACCGGGUGCUUUUUAUUAAGGGUGGCAUAUUUAUUACCCGUGCUCAUCGGUAGCAUUGGCCUGUCAUUUUUCCUUUGGUUUUGCUGGCAUUGAUAUUGCCAUAAUGAUGACCUUGUAAAUGGGGUGAUAAGUGGUGGGGUUGGUCUUGUGCACUGUGUAUUUGGACACUGAGUUCUGUGGCCCUAAGAUCAGGUGCCGUCUGGAUAUGGGCAGUGUGCUGUCCAGAGUAUUGUAGAGAAUGCUCCCCAGUAUUCUCUGAUUGGACAGUAAAGGGCUAGAGCCUGUAACUGGGCAGGAGAGAGAGAAAGGUGGGACUUGAGAUGGAGUAGGGACCAUGAGGAGACGGAAAAAGGGGUCUUCCCUUUCUUAUCCAAACAGUUUGAAUAAACAAUCAGCAACCAUCUUUACAAAAUGUUCUGAUAAUCAUGCAAAGGAAAACUAUUUUUCUUUGUCGUGACAGUUAUUCUCUGUAUAACUCUGGCCUCCCCAGAACUCACUCUGUAGACCAGGCUGGCUUCGAACUCAGAGACCCGCUUACCUCUGCUUCCCAAGUGCUGGGAUUAAAGGUGUAUGAGAAAAAGGAGGUCAUCGUGAAGCAGGAUGGACCAUGAGCCCAUGACCAAGAGAAAAUCGCCCCGAGGACACACACGGAGCAGAACAAACAGAGCAAGACUCAGCUAGCAAAUACCACAGAGCCCGUGACUGGGACUUAGCCCGGUCUAGGCUUACAGCUUAUUAAUAGAAAUUCCAGGUUUUUGUGUCUUUUAUUUGGGAGCUGUAUCGGCUAGCGUGGGGCAGGGGCAUAAAAUCACUGCUACGAUUACCAUGGUCAUCUCCCCGCCCCCUUCAGAAGACCAUAGAAGGACUGGUGUUAAUUCUCAAAUACUUGGUAGACUUCUGCUGGGAAGCCAUUUUUCUUUGAUGGGAGUUUCUUGUUUCUUUUUAAAAUUAUAUGUAGUAUGUAUCUAUCUGUGUGUGGGGAUCUGCAUGUGAAGAGAGUUACCUGCUGCGGCCAGGCAUUGGCUCCCACCCUGGAGCUGGGGUUACAGGUAAUUCUGAACUCUCUGAUGAAGAUGUUAGGAACCCACUGGGCCUCUGUCCAGUACUGCAGGAACCCUUGCCUGCUGUGCUGUUUCUGUAGUCUGAUGGGAGUUUUUACAUUAUUGGUUUAAUUUCCUUGCUUUUGGUCUCUUUCAGCCUUCUAUUCUUCCUGCUUUCAGUCUUGCUAGAUUGUAGGUUCUUAAGAAUCCAUCCAUUUCUCCUAGGUUACCCCAACCACAGCUGUGAAACUGUUCAGACCUGUCUCUAACUGUACUUGUAUCUUCAUAAUACUCCUGGGUUUGUCUCUUGUUCAAUUCUGGCUUUAUUGACUUGAACGUCUCUCCUUAGCCUUCUUACUUGCUUUAUAAGUAGAAGAAUCUUGAAUUUGCAUGAGAUGCCAGGGUAAUUUGUUCUCAAGUUUUCACUCUCUGUAAGAGUAUGGGCACACGUGUGUAUGCACGUGCACGGACAGAAUCUCUUGGAAAAAUUUUCCCUCAGAAAUGUUUAUUUCUAGAACAUAAUGGUUGAAACUGAAUGCUACCACAACUUUCUCAAGGUAGAAAUACAAGGGUCAAUUAAAUCCUGCUGGAAUCUGCCCAAUAGAUACCUUUAUUCAAUUUCACAGAAUGUAUUUUGCACCGGAUACGUGCCAGGUAUCUGGUUGUGUGUACUUCUUUACUCUAAAUUGAAUUUCCCCAGGCAUUAUCGACCAGGCUUCUGUCCAUGGGGCCCAUCUCCUGGGAAGGGAAGCAGCGAAUCCUAAAUAUUGCGGCCUCCUGUGGAAAGCAUUGAUGCUCAAAAUGUCCCAGUCCAUAUUCCUGUCAUGAUCUUUUCCCCAGAUUUCACCAAUCAAGUAACUUCUUCCUCAGAGAUGGAGAUGAAUGGACAAGCCAAGGAAGAUGAAAAAUGUAUUCCACUAAAUAGGGACAGGCCUUUUUGAUUUGGUUAACUGAAGCAAGAACAGAGGACAACUCCGAUUAUCAAGGACCCUAACACGGUCCUUCUGAAGAUAAGUUAGGGAGGAUGAAAAGAAUAGCUUCUCCUUAGGAUAAGCUAAACUGACCUGGCAUCCAGACUCCAUGGGAUUGUCUGGUGAAUGCUGAGUAGGAUAAAGUAUGGGACACUGGGGACUGUCUGUCACAAACUAGGUCCUUAUAGGCAUUAAGGCUUCUACCUUCAUAGCAUUGGGGUGUCUCUUGUUGUGACUGUAGUGAACUGUAAAAAUUUCUCUAACUACAACAGGGUUUAGGAAAGUACUUCUGUUAUCACUUGGAGUCUGAACAAGGGAAAUCAGGCAGGGUAAACAGCAUUGAGCGCACUGGGCCUUGUUCUGUCUGUCAAGGGAUGCAGAAUAGGCCUUCCUUCUUCCACCAUUAUGAGGAGUUUUAUCCUACUGUGUAUGUAGCCUGCAGCCUAGAGUUCCCCAGCUCCCUUUUGCCCUCACACAGACCUUUCCACUGAGGAGGAGGGGAACUAACGUUUGCAUCUGUCAUGAAGAAAGCACGUCCACCUCACACACCCAGGCCCACCCUUCUGUUACAAGCGAAGCUCAUGUCUUUGAGUGUGGUCAGCUCUGGAAAACAAACGCCAACUACCAUGAGACAGUGCUGAAGGGCGUGGUUUUGGGGGUUAUUGUAAAAACAUUUUGAUCUCACAAUAAAUUUAUCUCUAAAGAAUUAAUUUGUCCUUAAAUUUAGAAGAGAAAAGAAAACUUUCAAUUUCAGAGAGACUAAAUUGUGGGCAAGGGACCGAAGUGAUUUCUUGAUUUCUUUGCCUAGGAUGAAGCAAAUUUUCCUGGCAAUCGGUUUCCUUUUAGAUGAGAUUAAGGAUAACUAGGAGGAAAUGUCAAUGUAUUUAAUGAAGAUUGCCCUCUGCCAGUAGCAGUCCUAGGCAACUGUUCCGAAGUGGAACAAACGUGGCUAAAAAGACAAGCUCUGGGACAGGGCUAGAGCUUGCCUCUUGGCUCUGCUGUGUGACCUUGGACAUUAUACCUGACCUCUCUGUUUCAGGGGUUGUUUGUGAAGUGUUGCUCCUGUGAGGGCUUAGACGGCAGUGGCUGCGUUUGGAUGCUGUGCAAUCUGCUGACUAGAGAGUCUUGACCCAGCUGCCUCUUUCCUUUCUCCCUGUUUUACACACACUACACUAGACCCGCCUUUCAGUGUUUUUCUCUUGCUGUUGUGUCUUGCCUGCUCUAAACCUUUUCUUCUCCAUCUGGUAACAUAACUGCCAGCCUCUGGGUCAGGGUUGCUGGAGGAAUUUGUAGGAAAACAAAAGUUCUACGGGGAACCUCAGAUUUUGCUUCCUGACAGCAGAGGGUGCCACAAUGUUUCUCACUACAGAAAUCUACACAGGAUUACUUUCCUUUUUUUUUCUAUCUGGCACUUAAAGCUUAAGAGUCUCCUGGCUGAGAGACCAGCCCUGAGUGAGGACUUUUAUUGUCCACUAUGUAAUAGUGACAUGAACCAACACCAAGAAUGCAUGGUCAUGGAGUGGCUUUAAAUUUUAAUUAGGCAUUUCUGUUACACUGUAUUUCGUAUUUCUCUGUAUUUCUUGGAUUAGGUUUGCAAAGAUACAGUAUUUUCAAGAAUAUGUCGCUGGGAUAAUGCAUGCCUUCUUACUGUUCUUUUGGUGUGGUGAAAGCCACGAUAAGGUAUAAAAGGAAGCAUUUGAUUGGAGGCUUGCUUACUGUUCCGGAGAGUGAUUCCAGGAACAUUAUGGUGGAGAGGACAGAGUAGGAGGAAGGGGGCCUGUGGGCAGUCAUGGCACUGGGGCAGGCAGUAGCUGAGUGCUGACACCUGUUCUGGAAGUUGCAGGCAGAGAAGGACACUGAGCCUGGUGUGGACUUUUAAAGCCUUUACCGCCGCUGCAAGUGUCCCACCUCCUGUAACAAGGUCACACCUUUUAAUUCUUAAACGGUCCACCAACUGGGAACCAAAUAUUCGAACAUAGGAGCCCAUGGGGGCCAUUCUCAUUCCGGUCACCACAGUGCUUCCAAUCCUAGCCCUGGGGAGGAAGUAUGCAAGUUUGAGGAUAGUCUGAGUUUCACGGAGAGCGUCUUUCUCCAAAAACAAAAGGCCAACCAAAAAAUAAUAACUAGCAGACACCUAAAGCCCAACUAAAACAAGCAAAGAAGGGAUACGUAACAGACAAACUGGCUCUUGUUCCGCCCGUAUAGAUUUCAGGAGUGGCCAAAGCAGGAUGGAGGAUGAACCGUACUGAACCGAGGUGAAUUCGGUGCGGUGGGGAAUCGAAGCUGAGGGGCCAAGCAGAUCAAAGCACUGCUCGGCUCAGCAACAGUGGAACCUGCUCAGGGCCGGGUAAUUAACUGUGCCUAUCAUAGAGGAGGUAAAAUAUGGCGGGCUGGCUUUUCCAUGGGACACUGGAAUUCCUUUCUGAACAUACAGGUGUUCCCCGCCCCCUGCCACCGACGCCGCCAUUAGGAGUUACCGUGUUCGUUGCAAUUCGAAUACCUCAGGGACGGGUAGAAGAAAGAAAAACUGUAAAUGCUCUUCACUUGGACCACCCCAUCCCGAGAGCAUUUUGAUUCCUUUCAUUGCAUCCUCUUUCUUAAGUAUUAAAAAAAAAAAAGUCAGGUUUGUGAUCGUAAUGCAAUACAUGUUUUCCCUCAUUUUCGUAUGCUAAAACAAACAUCCCAGUAAAACUAGUCUCCCCGUGUAAGCGCUGUUUAAGUGCUCGGACAACGUUUCAGUCUGUAGGGGUUGGACAUUUAGAGGAUCACCAUGCAUGUCAUUUCUGAGUAUGCAGAGGUGAGGAAUAACACCCAAAAGACUGGGUCUGUGCUUCAGGCGCUGUCCUGAGCAAACGGACCUUAUUUGACAGAGCUAAUUAUUAAAUUGACAAUUUAAUUGACAGAGUGUCUUACCAGCAGUUUUGUAAAGUCGAGAAAGAACGCUACAGUGUGAGAACUAACCAAUCAGACGCCCAAUGACUCUUCUAGUACCCAGGGUGCAGUGCGAAGCAAGCAGGCAAGGUCUCUCCUCCUUUAGAGUACACGUGGGAAACACAGUAAAUGGGUGGAGUGCCACUCAGCCGUUACAGAAAAUGAGGUAUUCAUGGAGCUGGAGACAAGGUCCGUGCUUAAGUGCACUGGCUGCUGUUCCAGACGACUCGGGUUUGAUUCCCAGCACCCACAUGGCAGCUCAGAACAACCAUUGGUAACCCCAGUCCCCCGAGAUUCAAUCCCUCGGAGGGAACCGAGUAUGAAUGGGGUGCAUGGGCAUAUGACAAAACGCCUGUACACGUAAAAAAAAAAAAUUCAACAGCAAAAGCAAGUGUGGUACUGAUUGGUGUGUGCUACAAACAGAACAUGACCGAUGAAAGAAGCCAGUCACAGAGGGCCACAGGUCACCGUGCGAUUCCAUUUAGAUGAGGUGUUCAGACUGAAAAUCUACUGCUGCUCAGUCCGUGCUGCCCAUCCAUGGGGAGGUAAGCACUGUUGAUGUGCCCAGAGGAGAGCGCUGCUCAGACAGCACAGCAGAGCGGGAACUGACCAUCUGAACAGGCAUUCCCUCUGGCCCCUCUUCAGUUUACCUCAUCCUCACAGCCCAUCCCAGCAGCCAGCUCUGCCCGUGGAGGAGGCGAGGUCAGAAGAGACAAUUGCGCUUCUCACCUGGCUGUCACAUUAAGUGUGCUCUGCUGCAUGCUUGAGAAUGACCUUUGCCCUGAAAGAAGCCAGCAGCUUCAGUGAGCUGGGCACCAUCUCCCUCUGUCUACGCAUGGAUGCAUUUGUAAGCUAAUGUGCCCUCCUCAUAGGGAAAGCUUCCCACUCCUUCUAAUCAGUUGUGAAGGCCUGAUGGUCGAUUCUGAUCCUGGCUCUGGCACAGAUGGGUCCUCCGACGACCUCCAAUGAGAUAUUCUUGACUUCGUACGGUGUGACCAGUGUCUCUCCAUUCGGCUGUUCUCCCCUGUGGCCUUUGUAACAAAUAAGCAGAUGUAAGUAAACUGCCCCCCGCCCCCGUGAGCUGUACUACAGGAUACCGAUAUCCCUCCCUCAUCUCUCACUUUCUCUUCCUCUCCCUUUCUCCCUCUGUCCUCCCCCCACUUUUUGAGACAAGAUCUUCCUGAUUCCUCAGCCUGCUCUCAAAUUUAUGGCCUUCCUGCUUCAGCCUGCCAACGGCUGGCAUUGACUACCGCACCCCACUGGAACUCCAAGUUUUGAAGCUGGACUUCAGUGUGAGCAUCCUGAGACCCUAGUGUCUGAAGUGACUGGAUGGACGUCUGGGUUCGAUGCUGUCUCCUAGUAACAGUUCUCAACAUCGAAUUGACUUGUAGGGUCUCCCAGUUACCAUGCAAAGAAUGAGAAAGGGGAAAACUCAUGUAUUUCCCGCCAGAGGUAUUAUCUGUAAACACAGUUCAAUGACAUCAUCUAAUCUAAGAGUUUGAUAUCAGUUGAUUAUAAUCACUGCUAUUUGGGACUUAUUUUGGACAGUUUAUUUCAUGUUUCACUGUUCAUUUAUUUAUUUUUACUUUUGGACAAGGCGUCUCCUUGUAGUCCUGAUUAUUCGGGAGCUGCCUGUGUAGACCAUGGUGGCCUCAGACUCACUGAGGGCUUCCUGCCUCUGCCUCCCAAGUGCUGGGGUUAAAGCGUGCACCGCCAUGCCUGGGUCUACUAUUCUUUUUAAUUUUUAGCCAUUCUAACAGGUCUUUGUAUUUUCCUCACGGUUAGAUUUCAGACGUUAUUAUAUCCAUUUACUUAUGCCUGCACACAUCAUUUGUCGAAAUGUCAACCCACACCCUUUGUCUGUGUUAUUUAUAACUGAGUUGUUUAUUCACAAACUACAAGUGUCGUGUGCCCUAGACCUUUCUCGGGGAUGAAGUGGAAAUUUCUGCUUUCUUUGGGGGGCUCAGUUGCAUCACGUGAUUUUUUUUUUUUUUUUUUUUUUUUUGGUUCUUUUUUUUUUCCGGAGCUGGGGACCGAACCCAGGGCCUUGCGUUUCCUAGGCAAGCGCCCUACCACUGAGCUAAAUCCCCAACCCCAUGUGAUGUUUUUCUGGAAGCUCUCUUACAAGAGAAUAUUUCGCUGAGGCAGACACGUGAGAGCACGUGAUGUUUAAAAAGAGUAUAACUGUAGCCCAGGAGUAACCUCGCUUUUGCGUUGUUUCACCUUGCAAAGCUUCUCUGGUCUUCACUUGUCGUGAGUUUGUAGAGAGAACUGCGUCAAAGAGCUUCUCGCGGUAUUUGGUUGCUUCUUGCCACUUCUUCAGACUUGUGCAGAUUCUUCAGAGCCUUGCGGUUUUUUCUGGAUGGAGACACUGUGGCCGAUUCACGUUCAGUGUGCACCGAUUGGACUGGACUGCUGUUACUGAUUCCUAUUUGGUGUUUUAGAGUGGACUACUGAUAUCCUGACAACAAAGAUUGGAAUCGCCCCAAAGAACUACUUCUAAAUAAGUCCAUAGCCCCAUUGUCCUAUUAGCUAUCUUUCUCCUCUGCCUUUGGUUGGUAGGCUGUAAGGGGGCUUGAAGCACUUAAGAUCUCUUAUUAAAAGUGGGUUUUGAAAAACCAAAUUCUACACAGAUAUGCUGUUCGUAAGUAUUUUCUCCCAAUUUUCAUUUUCUUAAAAUGUUUCUAAAAAUAUAUUUCAUGUGUAUGGAUGUUUUGCCUGCUGUAUGUCUGUGUACCAUGUGUGUGCAGUGCCCAUGGGGGCCAGAAAAGGACAUAAGAUCCCUUGGGACUGUGGCUACUGACAACUGUGAGCCACCAUAUGGGCUCUGGGACUUAAACCUGGAUCUUUUAAAAGAACAACCAGUGCUCGUAACCACAGCACAAUCCCUGCAGCCCGUGUUUUAUGUUCUUAGCAAUAAUCAAUCUGAAGGUGAGGGUUGAAAUUUUGAUGAACUAUGAUUCAUUAAAGCUUCUUUUUUAUAAAUUGUUUUUGGCUGAGAGUAUAAGAACUUUUUUCCUAGUCUUUUAUUUUCAAGAACUUUCUCUUGUAUUUUGCCUAAAAUGUUUUGUAGUUUUUAUGAUUCCCAUUUAAGACCAUGGUUUAUUUUUUUGUAAAAAAAAAUCAUGAAGCUUGUGUUACACUUUAUUUGCUUGGUUUUAAGUGUUUAAUUGUUUGAGUACCAUUUGUGGCCAAGGAUGUCUUUCCUCUGUUAAAUUGCUUUGGACCUUUCUAAGAAUGUCUAGUCAUGUCUGCUGGCUCGGUGCUCUGUUCUGUCCAUCUGUCUAUCUGUACAACACAGAAAAUCAUGUAGAUUGACUUUUCCUACAUGAAGAGUUUUUAUUCUGUAAAACUGUAUUGGUGGUUAUAAUUCCCUUGUCUGCAUAGAAAUUUGACGGUAAUCUUGUUUACAACUGCAAAAGUCUUACAAGGGUUUUGAUAGGAGUUGUGCGUUAAUUUGGGAAGAAUUCAGAUUUUUAUCUGGAGCUCUUCCAACUCCAUUCAAACAUGGCUGUAACUCCACACUUUUCUCCUCUGUUGUACUGAUUUUAGCAUUUAAGCCAGUCUUUGUCAGAUAACAACAAAAAAAGUACAGAGUGUGUGGCAUAAGGGACAAACAUUUAACUCUAUAGCUUUGGGGGCUCAGAAGUCCCAGAUAAAAGGACCAGCCAAUUUGGUUCACGACUUGUUGUAGGUGUUUUUCCUUUUCCAUCCUUACAUGGGUGGUAUUAUUCUUUCGCCACCGUCUCCACCUUGAAAUCCCUUCCACUGGUUUUUUGUGAAAUGCCUAGUUUAGACUUUCACUUUCCAAGCUCGUCCUUGUAGCCUUUCUCCAAUUUCCCCGGCUCCCAGAAUUUCAACUUCUCCAAUGGUAAGACAAUAAAAGUCUGUGGAACUCCAUUCUUAUGUUAUUGGCAACUCUGAGAAGAGGCAACUUUGAAAUGUAAUGUCUUCCAUUAGACUGAGCGGAAGCUGCCCUCCUGCAGGACUGUACGGGAUGGCCCUACCACCUUGCUCUCCCACCUCUUGUCCCAUUGUUUUUUCCCCGUCUCGUUUCCCUGGGAGCUCUUCCUUAAUAAAUCACCUGCACACAAACUGUAAUCUCAACUCUGCAACUGGGGAGCCUGGCCUAAGGCAUCUAUCAAAGGAAUUCAAAGGUAGACAUUUGUCUGUUUGGAAAGUGAAGGCGUGUAGUCAGUAGCAUCGUUACCAUGGUCACUGCUGCUGAGGAAGACGGGAGGAAUCUCAGCCAACUUGCCAUGAGUUUGUUGUUAUGGAGACAGACAUGCUGGGCUUUAUCACAAUGCUGAUUUUCUCCAGGUAUGAGGUUGCUGUGGAAACACAGAGCCCCAAACCUCAAAGAACACUCAUUUCUAAUCCCAGCUCCUUUCUCCACCUGCUUAUGGCUGAUUAGCAAAAGUAGCAUGGUGGGACAGGAGAUGUUCAUGGUACCAGCAUUCAACCCAGCUCUCUAGAGAAGGGCCACAAUCCCAGACGUUUUCCUGGAGACAUUCACGAUUCUAGGCCCCGCAGAUCGAUCUGGGUCCACUAAAACGCAGCAGGAAUCGGGGGAAAGUAGAGAGGCCGAGACCCAUCGAUGACAGAAUCAUUAACUACAUGGAUGGCAGACUACCAAUGCCGGUGCGGAUGACGGCGGUGAUGUCAGAGACGAUGCUGACGCCUGUCUGGCCUCCCUCUUGGUCCCAUUCGGAAUGCUUUUCCUGUAGGAACUCACUUGAUCCUCAUCUUCGCCACAUAAAAUCAAUUUCAUUAAAAUCGUUAUUUUCCAGGUGAA